AAGCGGUGGGUUGUAGCUCCACGAACAGAGGUUUGAGUCCUCUUCUUAC
rnacentral:tRNA from 1 species